rnacentral:rRNA from 1 species
AGUGAACGCUGGCGGUAGGCCUAACACAUGCAAGUCGAACGGCAGCACAGUAAGAGCUUGCUCUUACGGGUGGCGAGUGGCGGACGGGUGAGGAAUACAUCGGAAUCUACUUUUUCGUGGGGAUAACGUAGGGAAACUUACGCUAAUACCGCAUACGACCUACGGGUGAAAGCAGGGGAUCUUCGGACCUUGCGCGAUUGAAUGAGCCGAUGUCGGAUUAGCUAGUUGGCGGGGUAAAGGCCCACCAAGGCGACGAUCCGUAGCUGGUCUGAGAGGAUGAUCAGCCACACUGGAACUGAGACACGGUCCAGACUCCUACGGGAGGCAGCAGUGGGGAAUAUUGGACAAUGGGCGCAAGCCUGAUCCAGCCAUACCGCGUGGGUGAAGAAGGCCUUCGGGUUGUAAAGCCCUUUUGUUGGGAAAGAAAUCCAGCCGGCUAAUACCUGGUUGGGAUGACGGUACCCAAAGAAUAAGCACCGGCUAACUUCGUG